UACGUAGGGUGCGAGCGUUAAUCGGAAUUACUGGGCGUAAAGCGUGCGCAGGCGGCCAUGCAAGUCGAGUGUGAAAGCCCCGGGCUUAACUUGGGAAUUGCGCUCGAAACUACGUGGCUGGAGUGUGGCAGAGGAAGGUGGAAUUCCACGUGUAGCGGUGAAAUGCGUAGAGAUGUGGAGGAACACCAAUGGCGAAGGCAGCCUUCUGGGCCAGCACUGACGCUCAUGCACGAAAGCGUGGGGAGCAAACAGG
rnacentral:rRNA from 1 species